rnacentral:rRNA from 1 species
CAGCAGCCGCGGUAAUACAAAGGGUGCGAGCGUUAAUCGGAUUUACUGGGCGUAAAGCGUGCGUAGGCGGCUUCUUAAGUCGGAUGUGAAAUCCCUGAGCUUAACUUAGGAAUUGCAUUCGAUACUGGGAAGCUAGAGUAUGGGAGAGGAUGGUAGAAUUCCAGGUGUAGCGGUGAAAUGCGUAGAGAUCUGGAGGAAUACCGAUGGCGAAGGCAGCCAUCUGGCCUAAUACUGACGCUGAGGUACGAAAGCAUGGGGAGCAAACAGGAUUAGAUACCCCAGUAGUCCCUGUCUCUUAUAA